GUCUACGGCCAUGCCACCCUGAACAAGCCAGAUCCCGUCUGAUCUUGGAAGCUAAGCAGGGUCAGGCUUGGUUAGUACUUGGAUGGGAGACUGCCUAGGAAGACCAGGUGCUGUAGGCA
rnacentral:rRNA from 1 species